rnacentral:lncRNA from 1 species
GUCGUUUGUACGUAAAGGACAGCGAACGCUUAACUGUAAUGUAGGGUCUAGGUGGUCAAGUGGUCUAGUACACAGUAAGUGAUUGGUUAUCAUGUUGGCUCAGUAGCAUGGGUAAGAAUUCUGGCCAGGGAAGAUAAACAAGUUGUUCCGCAAAUUUAAAGAUCUAACAUUGUUUGGAUGUUAUUUAGAUGUUUUAGAUGUCUUGUUUUACUUAUCAGUUUGUAUGCUUCAUAUGUGGCACCUGUUGUGUUGUUCUUGAAAGUACA